GGCCAACCAGGAGUACAAGGAACUUCAGGACCUAGAGGAAAUCCAGACCCUGUGGGAGAAGCUGGUUCCACAGGAUCACCUGGCCAUGGGUUAUCAGGAGAACAGGGACUUCUUAAAUACACAUUUGUUGCUCCAAAGAUGUAAAGAGGAUUUGAAGUUAUACAAUGACAUGAAUGAAUUGAUUAAAAAUACAUGUAGAUGAGACCCUGUAUCUACAGUACAUGUAACUGG